GGGGUGACUAGUGACAGAGUGAGGGUGGGGGUGACACAGUGACAGAGUUAGGGAGGGAGUGACUAGUGACAGAGAGAGGGAUGGGGUGACUAGUGACAGUCACCCCCUCCCUCCCUCUGUCACUAGUCACUCCCUCCCUCUGUCACUAGUCAUUACCUCCCUCUGUCACCAGUUAUCCCCUCACUUUGCCACUAGUCAUCUCUUCCCUCCCUCCCCCACUCUGCCACUAGUCACCCAUUCCCUAACUCUGUCACUAGUCACCCACUCCCUCACUCUGUCACCAGUCACCCCC